rnacentral:rRNA from 1 species
AGUGAACGCUGGCGGUAGGCCUAACACAUGCAAGUCGAACGGCAGCACAGAGGAGCUUGCUCCUUGGGUGGCGAGUGGCGGACGGGUGAGGAAUACAUCGGAAUCUACUCUGUCGUGGGGGAUAACGUAGGGAAACUUACGCUAAUACCGCAUACGACCUACGGGUGAAAGCAGGGGAUCUUCGGACCUUGCGCGACUGAAUGAGCCGAUGUCGGAUUAGCUAGUUGGCGGGGUAAAGGCCCACCAAGGCGACGAUCCGUAGCGGGUCUGAGAGGAUUAUCAGCCAAACUGGAACUGAGACACGGUCCAGACUCCUGCGGGAGGCAGCAGUGGGGAAUAUUGGACAAUGGGCGCAAGCCUGAUCCGGCCAUACCGCGUGGGUGAAGAAGGCCUUCGGGUUGUAAAGCCCUUUUGUUGGGAAAGAAAUCCAGCUGGCUAAUACCCGGUUGGGAUGACGGUACCCAAAGAAUAAGCACCGGCUAACUUCGUGCCAGCCGCCGCAGUAA